CCUACGGGUGGCUGCAGUGGGGAAUAUUGCACAAUGGGCGCAAGCCUGAUGCAGCCAUGCCGCGUGUGUGAAGAAGGCCUUCGGGUUGUAAAGCACUUUCAGCGGGGAGGAAGGCGUUAAGGUUAAUAACCUUGGCGAUUGACGUUACCCGCAGAAGAAGCACCGGCUAACUCCGUGCCAGCAGCCGCGGGAAUACGGAGGGCGCAAGCGUUAAUCGGAAUUACUGGGCGUAAAGCGCACGCAGGCGGUCUGUCAAGUCGGAUGUGAAAUCCCCGGGCUCAACCUGGGAACUGCAUUCGAAACUGGCAGGCUAGAGUCUUGUAGAGGGGGGUAGAAUUCCAGGUGUAGCGGUGAAAUGCGUAGAGAUCUGGAGGAAUACCGGUGGCGAAGGCGGCCCCCUGGACAAAGACUGACGCUCAGGUGCGAAAGCGUGGGGAGCAAACAGGAUUAGAUACCCGAGUAGUC
rnacentral:rRNA from 1 species